UCUGAUCCAAAAUAUAAAAUUCAAGAAAAAGUAGGUCUUUGGAUCAAAAUUUAGAAAAAACCCUUUCAAACCCAGUACAAGCUUAACCCAAAAAGCAAGAAAAUUCCUAGUUAAACUAGAGGAUUCGACCCAUAGCAAGAGUGGAUUCUCUACUCUUCGAGUGACAGGAGAGGAGUUCGAGCAAGGGCAGACCAACGAGAUACAAGCAUGAGCAAACAAGUCACGUAGACUACAAAUGAAUCAUCAAUAUCUAUUGAAUAAGGAGCAAUAAACAAAAAAAAAAAAAAGGGGCCGUUAAGCUACUGGGCUGCUCUUCAAUUCUGUUAAGAGGAUAUCUGUCCAAAGAAAAAACUCAACUCCAAACAUUACUACGAGAUUAUUACAGGAUAGAGAAUACUACUUGCUGAGAAAGAACGACGACUUUGGUUGCAAGAUGAUAAUGAAGCCUCGAAGCAUUUCCACAAGCACUUGGAGGAGCUUUCAUUUUCAACUCCAAAGAGAAAUUGCGUGUGGAUUUUGGCUUUUCAAUUUUGGGAAAAAUCAUCAAACUUGGAUUAGAGCCCAACACUGACAUUAUACUAUCUUAAUUGAUAGGCUUUGUAAAGAGGGUAAAAUCAAUAGAGCAAUAGAAAUUUUCAAUGACGUGGUUGCGAGAGGUUUUCAACCUGAUGUUUUUACCUACAAUGUGAUAGUAAAUGCUCUGUGUAAAUUUGGCAAAACAAAUUUGGCUACCAGGUUGUUGAAGGAAAUGGUUGGGAGAGGUUGUGAGCUAGAUGCAGUGAUUUACAAUGCAAUCAUUGACACCCUUUGCAAGGAUAAGCUAGUUUCUGAGGCGUUAGACCUCUUCUCUCGAAUGAAGAACAAGGGCAUUUCGCGUACUGUUGUCACUUACAGCUGCCUAAUUCAGGGUGUUGGCAAUUUAGGCAGACUGAAUCAAGCAUUGUCCUUGUUGAGUGAAAUGGUGGUGCAGAAUAUAUCACCAGAUGUUUAUACCUUCACUAUAUUGAUUGACAAUCUUUUUAAGGAAGGAAUGGUUUCAAAGGUUCAAGACAUUUUCGGUAUGAUGGUUAAAGGGGGCAUCAAGCCUAAUUCAGUUACUUAAAAUUCAUUGAUGAACGGAUAUUGUCUGCAUAAUCAAAUGGAUGAAGCUAGAAAAAUAUUUGAUCAGAUGGGACAAAGAAAAAUGGCAGAUGUCUUUAGCUACAACAUCUUGAUCAAUGGGUAUUGUGAGAACAAAAGGAUUAAUGGAGCAAAGAAACUUUUUGAUGAAAUGCCUUAUAAAGAUUUGGUUCCUGAUGCUGUUACUUAUACUACUCUUAUAAAGGGCAUGUGGCGAGUGGGGUGGUCCUGAAAUGCACUAGAGGUUUUCAAGUACAUGUGUUCUCAAGGUCACCCGCCAGAUAGAAUAACUUUCUCCAUUUUGCUUGAUGGCUUGUGCAAACAGGGAGAUCUUGAUGACGCACUCACAUUAUUUAAUGUGAUGGAAAAGAGUCGAUUGAAGCCUGAUCAUGUGAUAUAUAACAUUUUGAUCAAUGGUAUGUGCAGAGCUGGGAAGCUUAAUGACGCCAAGGAAUUAUUUUCUAGGAUUUUUUAAAAUGGUUUAGAGCCUGAUGUUGAUACAUAUAGUACAAUAAUAAAAGGAUUUUGCAAUGAAGGAUUACUAGAUGAGGCAUACAAGACCUUCAGAGGAGUGGAAGAUGGUGGAUGUUUACCAGAUGGUUGCUGUUAUAAUGUAAUUAUUCAAGGAUUUCUCAAGCUUAAGGAAUUAACAAAAGCAUCAAAACUUAUUGAUGAAAUGGUUGAUAAGGGAUUCUCUGCAAAUGCGACCACUGCUGAAUUAGUAAUCCAUUUAUCUCAAAAUGAAGAUCUCAUUCUGAGUAGACUACGAAAUCGUUCUGAAGGUUCUGAAGAUGUAAUGUGAGGUGAUAAUUUAACAAUCAACCCCUUAUUACGGGGUGCAGAAAUUCUUUGUUAUGUUAUGAGUUAUUGGUAUUUGAAGGUAUUUUAUCUUAUUGCAAUUAU